rnacentral:rRNA from 1 species
UACGUAGGGGGCAAGCGUUGUCCGGAAUCAUUGGGCGUAAAGAGCGUGUAGGCGGUUUGGUAGGUCCGUUGUGAAAACUCGAGGCUCAACCUCGAGACGCCGAUGGAAACCAUCAGACUAGAGUCCGGAAGAGGAGAGUGGAAUUCCUGGUGUAGCGGUGAAAUGCGCAGAUAUCAGGAAGAACACCCGUGGCUAAGGCGGCUCUCUAGUACGGUACUGACGCUGAGACGCGAAAGCGUGGGGGAGCGAACAGG